rnacentral:rRNA from 1 species
UUAGGUGAAUUCACUAGUGAUUGCCAGCAGCCGCGGUAAUACGGAGGGUGCAAGCGUUAUCCGGAUUCAUUGGGUUUAAAGGGUGCGUAGGUGGAAAAUUAAGUCAGUGGUGAAAGCUUGCGGCUCAACCGUAAAAUUGCCAUUGAUACUGAUUUUCUUGAGUAUAGUUGAAGUAGGCGGGAUGUGACAUGUAGCGGUGAAAUGCAUAGAUAUGUCACAGAACACCAAUCGCGUAGGCAGCUUACUAAGCUAUUACUGACACUGAGGCACGAAAGCGUGGGUAGCGAACAGGAUUAGAUACCCUGGUAGUCCACGCUGUAAACGAUGAUCACCCGAUGCUGGCGAUAUACUGUCAGUGUCCAAGCGAAAGUAUUAAGUGAUCCACCUGGGGAGUACGAUCGCAAGGUUGAAACUCAAAGGAAUUGACGGGGGCCCGCACAAGCGGUGGAGCAUGUGGUUUAAUUCGAUGAUACGCGAGGAACCUUACCAAGGCUUAAAUGUAGAAUGACCUUCUGGGAAACCAGAAUUCUCUUCGGAGCAAUCUACAAGGUGCUGCAUGGUUGCCGUCAGCUCGUGCCGUGAGGUGUCGGGUUAAGUCCCAUAACGAGCGCAACCCCUAUCACUAGUUGCCAGCGGAUAAUGCCGGGGACUCUAGUGAAACUGCCCGUGCAAACGGUGAGGAAGGUGGGGAUGACGUCAAAUCAUCACGGCCCUUACGUCUUGGGCUACACACGUGCUACAAUGGUCGGUACAGUGGGCAGCGACCUGGUGACAGGAAGCUAAUCUCCAAAGCCGAUCUCAGUUCGGAUUGAAGUCUGCAACUCGACUUUAUGAAGCUGGAAUCGCUAGUAAUCGCGCAUCAGCCAUGGCGCGGUGAAUACGUUCCCGGGCCUUGUACACACCGGCCGUCAAGCCAUGGAAGCUGGGGGUACCUGAAGU